ensembl:lncRNA
UUUUUUUUUUUUUUUUUUACCCAAGAGCAGGUUGCGGAACAUGCACUCACUACACCCUAGAAGACAUGGGAGUAUGCAUCCCCGAAGGGAGGAACCCAGGAGAUCUGGCUGUCCCAGCUAACUGCGAUUUGGUUUCAGUGCCAUGGAAUUGGUUUUGUUUGCACAGUUGUGUAGUUCAUCAAACUAAGUUCACCCUAGCCUCCCCUUAAGGAAUGUGGAGUUAGAAGACUAGGGUCUGAGGAGCUUCCUGUGAGAACUACUUUCUGUUGCUCCCUUUCUUUGCUUGUUGACUUUGUAACUCACUGCUUUUCUCCUGUCCUCUCUCUUGACUAAUUUGUCAGCAGACUUUGGAAACGCUGAACUUGAUGAACAGAGCCAGUCUAAUACAUUUCCAACUUAAGCAGUGAUUAACAACUUUGAGAGCAAAGUUUAUCUGACAAGAGGAAGCCAAGUACAGAUAUUUAUUUUUAAAAUGCACAUUUCAAUACUACUACUUCUCAACCUGAGAUAGCAGUCAAAAUAAACGAAGCUGGACACUAGUUAAAGCAGUAAGGACAGACUUUAUAUUCAGUAAUGCCAGUCCAAUAGGGAAGAGAGUGUAAUAUGAACAAACCCCACACUUCCCUGAAACAAAAGGCUGAGGUAUGCAACAGAGAAAGGCACAAAAGGAUCUUAAGUUUUGGGGGUUGGCGGGCGGCUGGGGGGGGGCGGUGGUUUGUUGAUUGAUGUGACUACGCCAUUUGGGUUUGUUAACUGGCUUGUAUCCAGAGAAGAAACAAACUUCUAUCUUCAUGAUAUGAGGCAGUGGUGCUAGCUAAAGCAAGGUACUUGCCUCCUAUAGGGACCAGGAGCUAGGGUGAAUUAUCUCCCUGAAUAUUUACAUUUCAAAGAGAUGGCUCCCAAGUCUUUGAGGAAACUGUUUUGGGUGGUAGACUUACAUCACGAAGGGUAGAGAAACAAGAUUUCUAAGGUAACUGCUCUAAGAAGGGGUCCAGUGACCUAUCUGCCUAUCACCAAGUUUUGGCUGGAACAAACAGUAAAUUCUCCAGGCAUUGAGUUUUGAUUUCAGGGAAGCAUUUUAAUGGGGUCUGGGACCAGCCUAGGGACAAGGCCUUAAGCUACUGGAAGCUAUGCUAGAGUAUAAUUAAGUCUCUCAGUGCUGAGAAAAGAACUUUUACAUGAGGAAGGUGAAUCCUUUAAAAUUAUCAGGCCCAGAGAGACAUUAAAAUGAGACAGCAAUUACACCUAUUCCCCACUUUGUUAUGUAUUCAUCUCUUUAAACUGCUUGCUAUAGCCACAAGUAGCUACCAAUUAACUAAUAAUGGCACACUGGACACGGUAACUCACACUCUAUAGCUUAAUAUAUAGCCAUUCACUAAUCAAUGCUAUUUCUACAAACCAGUAAUUCUUUACAACUUUGUAUCAGUCAACUCCCUGUCCCCUUUUUGCCUUUAAAAACCUGAUUGUAACGAAGGCGGACAGGAGCUCACACUCAAGGUUACUUGGGUCUGGGUCUUCUGGGCAGCUGUCCUCACUUUGGCUAAAGCAAAUGCUUUAAAUUCUAUUUCGUGCCUCAGCAUCUGAGACACAGCUAGGUUGACAGUGUAAAGGUUUGAACAGUCAAUACCUAUCAAGAGUUCUGCAGUUUUCAGAACAAUGGUUGUCAAAAUUUGAUUAAUCUGGCUCUUAAGAUGGUCAGUUUUGUAACCUCGGUGUAUUGGAACCGCACAGAAAUAGCGGCUCAUGUAAGCAAAAGUCAAGUAUUUGCCACAUCAAUAAGCUAAUAUAAAUGAGGUAAGCCUGAUUACAAGCUGCUUUGGACAAUCUGGGUUUCCAACUUUCAGUGUGUCCGUUUGGCUAAUUUUUGCCUCUCGAGUUUCUUCCCCAGUAUUAAGGGUAUUGGCCUCUGUUCCUCCU